ensembl:lncRNA
GUCAGAGCAUCAGCCCAGAUGCAGACCUUGCCAGGGUGUUGUGGUCACCACUUCUGAGGCUGCUGCUGUGUCUGAUUGUCACUCCUGGCAGUUCAGCUGCCCCCACAUCUGCAGUGGGGCACAGGAGAGGGGCUGCACACGGACCUGUGGCCGGUGUCCCCCCGUUCCGAGGGUCAGAAGCGCUGGCUCUGUGAGCUGUGCCCUGCCAGGCUCACGGCCGCAGGCGGGGACUGCGGGUCUGCUGCCUGAGUGCCAUCUCCUGGGCAAGAGUGAGAGGCAGCGUCUGUGAGACCCCAAGGGAAGCAGAUGCUUUUGCUGUGAUGUCUCAAUGUCUUUUGACAAAGGGGUUUGUUCCCUAUCCACUUCACAGAAGUGUGUGUCUCCACCCAGAACCCAGGGGUUGAUCAUUCUUCUAGGUGAAAUUGCAAGUGUUAGGUAGUUAGUGUUUUCAGGUGUAGGAAAGCAAGUUUCUCCUUUAACAAUAUUUACAGCCUUGUGACUCUAUAAACUCCACACAGGUCCCCUUGUUCCUGCAGUUAAAGUCAAGAGACAUGAAAUAAAGAGUGACCCAACUCCCCUGGGGUUUGAAGAUGCUUUUGAGAACACCAUUUUGGCCCAGACUAAAUGUAAUGCUGGUCCCACCACGAGAUCCGUACCUAGAUCUGCUUCACAGACAGGUUGGCCCGGCAGACAAAUGCCUUCUCUAGACACAUUUGAAGAUUUUGAAGCCAUCCCUUCCAGCAUGGAUGAACUCUCUAACUCUUCUGAUUUGGAGGAAGAGACCAACCCUAACAAUGGGAGCAACCUCUUCCGGGUUGAAGGCAGCUUUGACAGCUGUUUCCCAGAUUCUCUUUCUCUCGAGGAUGGAGAUUUAGUGCAGUUUGUGCAGGAAGGAGAGAAUGGUCAAUGGUUAGUGAAGAAACUGGUCUCUGAGAAAAGCGACUGGGUUCCCUCCAGCAUAUUGCAGCCAGCAGAGGGGGACAGUAGCAACAUAAUUAAGAGCAGCAAUGCAGACACGUACAACGAUUCCUGCAGCACAGCCUCAGUAGAGUCAGACACGAAGGAAAGUGAGGUGGCCAAAAGCUUCCCAGCAGAACAGAGGGCUGGCAGCUGAACAGCAGGACCAGCCUUCCUCAGGACCCAUCCACCUGUCUUUAUCUUGGGUGGACACUGGAUCAAAGUUGCCUUCCUCACAAGCUCUGAGGUUCAUAAUUCACUAAAAUUUUAUCAACAUGAACAGAUGAGAACUGUGCUGUAUACCUGGCAAGCUGGGAAAAACAAACUUGAAAGGAGCAUUAAACAUCCAGAAAACAUCAAAAGUACCUCCAGUAUUAGAGGAGAAAAAUGCUUCUUGCAUUGAUUAUCAAACUGUUUCAGAAGAUGUGGCCUAAAUUAGGUCAACAGCAGAGCUGAAGAGUCUCUAUGCACGCACCUUUUGGCAACUUUGCUUGAGCACCACAUCACUGCAGAGGGGCACAUGGUGGUUAUGAGUCCUUGCUCCACCCUGGGGUCACCUGGAGGUUUUUCCAUUUGCUUGCCUCUGGCUGUGCCUUCCCUGUCCUCCUUAAUUCCAGCUGAUACAUCAUCACAAAUGUGCCCUUCUCGCUGUCAGUCAACACCAAAAACACCCCACUUGAGGGUGGCUGUGGAAAGGAGACUCCUGGCUGGGACCAUCAGCAGCAGUGCCAUGGCCCAGGGAGGCCCUGUUGCACACAGCAUUCCACACCUGGCACGGUGCAGGUGGCAGCUCCUGCCUGGGAGGCGCAGGGCUAAGCAGGGAAGUAGACAUGUAACACUACUGUGACAAAGAACACUGAACUCUUUUUACAGUCUGAGUCAUUCCUCUGCCCCCUCUACAGUCUCUGGUUGCUGGAUCACAACCCUUCGCACUUGGUGCCGAGAAUUCAGUUGAAUGCCAUUUACUGUCACAUGUUUGAGUAGACUGCAUGCUUUCCUUGUGUGCUGGGCUAUGAGUAGAUACAUUUCACCCCCCCAUUUGGAAUAUACUUCAGCAUUGCAAAUAGGCAGUGAGCAUUAGAUGCUCCAAUGAGUGGAUAAAGUGUUGUUGUUAAAUACUUCUUUCCAAGACGUUUGAUGAAAGGACUGUACCAAAU